rnacentral:rRNA from 1 species
UACGGGGGGGGCAAGCGUUGUUCGGAAUUACUGGGCGUAAAGGGCCAGUAGGCGGCCAACUAAGUCGGACGUGAAAUCCCCAGGCUCAACCUGGGAACUGCGUCCGAUACUGGAUGGCUUGAAUUCGGGAGAGGGAUGCAGAAUUCCAGGUGUAGCGGUGAAAUGCGUAGAUAUCUGGAGGAACACCGGUGGCGAAGGCGGCAUCCUGGACCAACACUGACGCUGAGGAGCGAAAGCCAGGGGAGCAAACGGG